rnacentral:SRP_RNA from 1 species
GCCGGGUGUGGUGGCGCGCGCCUGUAAUCCAAGUGUCAUGGAGGCUGAGGCUGGAGGAUCGUUGGAGCUCAGGAGCUCUGAGCUGCAGUGGACUAUGCUGAUUGGGAGUCCGCACUCAGUUCGGCAUCGAUAUGGUGUUUCUGGGGGAGCCCGGGACAACCAGGUCGUCUAAGGAGGGGUCAAUCGGCCCAGGUCGGAAACAGCAGGUCAAAGCCCGCGUGCCGCUCAGUUGUGGGAUCGCACCUGAGAGUAGACGCUGAAGCACAGCCUGAGUGACACAUAGAGACCCAGUCUUU